ACUCCUACGGGAGGCAGCAGUGGGGAAUAUUGCACAAUGGGGGAAACCCUGAUGCAGCCAUGCCGCGUGUGUGAAGAAGGCCUUCGGUUGUAAAGCACUUUCAGUAGGGAGGAAGGUAGUGUAGUUAACACCUGCAUUAUUUGUACGUUACCUACAGAAGAAGCACCGGCUAACUCCGUGCCAGCAGCCGCGGUAAGUACGGAGGGUGCGAGCGUUAAUCGGAAUUACUGGGCGUAAAGCGCAUGCAGGCGGCCUGUUAAGUCAGAUGUGAAAGCCCGGGGUCUUAACCUCGGAAUUGCAUUUGAAACUGGCGAGGCUAGAGUCUUGGUAGAGGGGUUAGAAUUUCAGGUGUAGCGGUGAAAUGCGUAGAGAUCUGAAGG
rnacentral:rRNA from 1 species